AAGUAAAAGUCGUAACAAGGUCUCCGUUGGUGAACCAGCGGAGGGAUCAUUG
rnacentral:rRNA from 1 species